UACGGAGGUGGCAAGCGUUACUCGGAAUCAUUGGGUGUAAAGGGCAAGUAGGCGGUCUAUUAAGUGAGGGUGAAAUCCUGCGACUCAAUCGCAGAACUGCCUUUCAAACUGUUAGACUUGAGGUAGGAAGAGGGAAAUGGAAUUCGCGGUGUAAGGGUGAAAUCUGUAGAUAUCGCGAAGAACACCAGUGGCGAAGGCGAUUUCCUGGUCCUUACCUGACGCUGAAUUGCGAAAGCUAGGGGAGCAAACAGG
rnacentral:rRNA from 1 species